CUUUGCCUAGCAUAGGGAGCAACUGGUGAAGAGUCAGCAUCUUGAAUUUUGGAAUCACCAAAAAGGUGUUUAGAGUAGACAGGUCCAGGACAGGACGCCAUGAAUGGUCUUUUCUGGGUACCAG